rnacentral:rRNA from 1 species
GAGGAAAGCUGGCGGCGUGCCUAAUACAUGCAAGUCGAGCGAACAGAUGAGGAGCUUGCUCCUCUGACGUUAGCGGCGGACGGGUGAGUAACACGUGGAUAACCUACCUAUAAGACUGGGAUAACUUCGGGAAACCGGAGCUAAUACCGGAUAAUAUAUUGAACCGCAUGGUUCAAUAGUGAAAGACGGUUUUGCUGUCACUUAUAGAUGGAUCCGCGCCGCAUUAGCUAGUUGGUAAGGUAACGGCUUACCAAGGCAACGAUGCGUAGCCGACCUGAGAGGGUGAUCGGCCACACUGGAACUGAGACACGGUCCAGACUCCUACGGGAGGCAGCAGUAGGGAAUCUUCCGCAAUGGGCGAAAGCCUGACGGAGCAACGCCGCGUGAGUGAUGAAGGUCUUCGGAUCGUAAAACUCUGUUAUUAGGGAAGAACAAAUGUGUAAGUAACUACGCACGUCUUGACGGUACCUAAUCAGAAAGCCACGGCUAACUACGUG